rnacentral:lncRNA from 1 species
GUUGGGUAUAUUUGUAUGGUAUGGAGAAAGGUUCAAGUUUGGGGUUGUUGGGGAGAUUUGAAAAAGAAUUGUGAAAAUAAAAAGAAAAAGAGCAUUGAGCUAAGUGUUGAACGAAAUUGAAAAAGAAAAGAAAAGAGAAGAGAAGAAGAAAAAGAAGGAAAAACUCAAUGAAUGAAAAGUUGGGAGUAAAAUGAGAAUGGUUUCUCAAAUAUAAAGGAGAAAGAGAGAUUAUAGUUAAUGAGAAAGGAAAUUGUUACUCUCUUUAACUCAAGGAAUUUUGUUGUCUAGAAAAACUAGUUUUCUUCUUAGUCUAGCCACAUUACAAGCCUUGAAAAGACCUUGUGAUGAUAACUUGCUUGGAAUGUGUUUUG